UUGGCCACACUAUUGUGAUAAUCUUGGCCAGGAUCACUUUAUAUCAUGUUGGACCACCUUGGAAUUCGUAGACUUUUAUCGUCGAAGGGUGUACUCACAGAACACAAUGAGUGGAUUGUGCUUUUCUACACUUCUGUCCAUAGCAGUGGGAUAUGUUUUCUGCACUGCUCGGCUACCCUCUAAUGUAUGUGUCCUGCACUGUGCAGCUACCCUCUAAUGCACUACUCAAUGUUCAGUCUCUUUCUGUACAAAUGACUUGAUCUAAUUAUUAUGAAUGACCUGUGAGUGUGUUGCUUUCUAUAUAAAUGACUUGCUCUAUUUUUGAUCUGUCAGACUGUGUUUUUGGUCCAUUCGUUUUUGCCAAACUUAAGCGUCGAGCUUUGGGCUACCCUAUGAAAUUUCUUGGAUCUGUUUAGGUCGCGAUGGCUGACAAAGAGAUCUAGGUUCAUGGCUCGCCAGGUUCAGUUGGUUCCACUAACAGCCGUCUCCGAGCACUUGCAUAGGUCAGCUGAUAUACGUCAUGCCCCCUCUUUGGUUUUACUGGACUGCUGCAAAAAUAUGAUCAGUGUGACUCCGCAAUUUUUAUAAUCAAAGGAAGUACUCACAGAUGUAAACACUGAUAUAGGGUUUGUAGAUGCUUAGAGAUAGCAGUAAAUGAGUAGUAAUAUUUUGAUCCAGACAGUGUGAUGAUUUAAACUCCUUUUUUAUAUGACCUUCAUGUAGUUAAUUGCUUUGUUGUCACUAUUGCUGCUGCAUGAUUUGUUCAGAGAGAGUUGCCAACUGAGCUUAUAUUUUUGUUAACUUACUGAAUGAUAACCACCUUUGCAUCUGUUUUUGUCGAAAGAACUUGAAUCAUUUUCUGAACUUACACUAAAUAUGUUCAUGUUUGUGUUCCAAUUGGAAGCAUUUUUUUUGGUAACUGAUAUUUGAUUCCAGAUUAUCAGUUUCUUUAAGUAGUGCAUGUUCAUGUUUGCAUAUCAGUAGGAAGCCAAAAAUAUUUCUGUUAAAGUACUGCAAGAUAACCAGACUCACCUUUGCAUAUACAUUUUGUUCAAAAAAAAGAAUCAAGCACUGGACUUGCACUAAUUAUGUUCAUGUUUGUGUUUCCGUGGGAAGCAAAAUUCAUUUCUGUUAAAUUAAUGCAAGGUAAUCAGACUCACCUUUGCAUAUAUAUUUUAGUUGAAAGAGAAUUGAACCAUAUAUGCUGGGUACCGAUAAAGUUAUAUAUUGGUUCCUUCUGUUGCUUUAUUUAGCUUCUAUUGGUUGUGUCUCUCACGAAAACUAACUUAUGUUGAGUUUCCAUUGGAUGUGUCUCUGUCCAGGUUGAGUUGAGCACAUGUAUACUUACCUCAGUCGGUGAGGUUUCUCUACCUUUGCUCUGUGACUCAGAUUGAUUUCUUUUCUAGGCUUUUACUGUAUCAUGUGUUUGUACCAUUGUUGCAUGUCUCUAAUUGUUUAUGUUGCUGAAAGCACAACCACUAAUAUAUACUAUGUUGUUGAUAGAUAGAAGAUUUUAGAAGCGCAUUGUUUCAGAAUUAUGAAAUUUAUUUUUGCAUGUAUUAUGUUGUUGUUGCCAAGAUCUAGCAUUCUAAUUGUUGAUCCUUUUCUAGAAAAUAAGAUCCCAUGGUUAUUUAUGUUGUCACUUCGCAAGCAAAAAUAAUUAUGUGUGGUUUCAUGGACUCUUACCUUAUUGAUGGGCACCACGCAGAGUUUGAGGAGAUGUAGGCUAGCGUGCCACCUCUCUCGCUUUUCAAGUCACAGCUGAGCCGCCUUCCUUUUGCUUCAGAGGCUCCAUGUGUCACCAUAGAUCCGUGUCACAACAUGCAAGCAAAUCAAAUGAAGGAGUGUGGACAAAGUUAUAUAUCGAGCAAAUCGGAUGAAGGCGUGUGGACAAAGUUAUAUAUCCAAUAGUCAACCAUGUAGUUUACUAUUUUGCAGUAUGAAAAACAGUGUACAUAAGUUAUCUGGGAGUAAUAAUAUGGCCUGCUUUUGGUUUCUAUCA